rfam:Oryza barthii chromosome 6, whole genome shotgun sequence.
AAAUACUCAAUUUCUAGGUUUCAUUGUCUAACGUUUGACCGUCCGUCUUAUAUGAAAAUUUAUUAUAUUAGUAUUUUUAUUAUUGUUAUAUGAUAAAACAUGAAUAAUACUUUAUGUAUAACUUAUCUUUUUAAAUUUUUUCAUAAGACAAACGGUCAAAUGUUAGACACAGAAACCUAGA